rnacentral:rRNA from 1 species
UACAGAGGUCUCAAGCGUUGUUCGGAUUCAUUGGGCGUAAAGGGUGCGUAGGUGGCGCCGUAAGUCAGGUGUGAAAUUUCGGAGCUUAACUCCGAAACUGCAUUUGAUACUGCGGUGCUUGAGGACUGGAGAGGAGACUGGAAUUCACGGUGUAGCAGUGAAAUGCGUAGAUAUCGUGAGGAAGGCCGGUGGCGAAAGCGAGCCUCUGGACAGUUACUGACGCUGAUGCACGAAGGCCAGGGGAGCAAACGGG